rnacentral:tRNA from 1 species
CCCUGGUAGCUGAGUUGGCAAAGAAUCUGCCUGCAAUGCAGGAGGCCCUGGUUUGAUUCCGGGAUCAGGAA